rnacentral:rRNA from 1 species
GACGAACGCUGGCGGCGUGCUUAACACAUGCAAGUCGAACGAAGUGGCGAACGGGUGAGUAACGCGUAAUCAACCUGCCCUCAGAGGGGGACAACAGUUGGAAACGACGGCUAAUACCGCAUACUGAAGGAGGGGAUUGCGUCGGAUUAGCUUGUUGGAGGGGUAACGGCCCACCAAGGCGAUGAUCAGUAGCCGGUUUGAGAGGAUGAACGGCCCAAAUUGGAAUGGGGAAACGCCCAGAAUCCUACGGGAGGGAGCAGUGGGGAAUCUUUCGCAAUGGGGGGAAGUCUGGCGGAGCAAAGCCGGGUUAGAGAUGACGGCCUUCGGGUUGUAAAGGUCUGUUAAUCGGGACGCGGUAUCUGAAUAGAAAGCCACGGCUAACUACGUGCCAGCAGCCGCGGUAAUAC